rnacentral:misc_RNA from 1 species
GGAAGUAAAAGUCGUAACAAAGUCUCCGUUGGUGAACCAGCGGAGGGAUCAUUACAGAGUUGCAAAACUCCCAAACCAUUGUGAACGUUACCUAUCCCGUUGCUUCGGCGGGCGGCCCGGGCCCCGCGCCCGGCGCCCCCCGGCCCCCCGUGGGCGCCCGCCGGAGGUAAACCAAACCCUUGAAUUGCAUGGCCUCUCUGAGUCUUCUGUACUGAAUAAGUCAAAACUUUCAACAACGGAUCUCUUGGUUCUG